GCAACCCUGAAGCUACAUCAGAAGCCAGAAAGAAUACAGUACUUGGUACUCAUUUAGAAAUAUAUGAUGAAGGAGAGCGAGGUGUAUGUGGUAACUCAAUACUAUUAGAACUUUUGAUGCAAAAGUCUUCAAGAAUGGUCAACAGAAAAUAUUGACAACACAUGUGCUGACUACAUUCUACCAAGAGGAAAAGAAGAACUUCUUGCAGAGAAGGAGAAAGGAUGCUGGAAGUCUACUCCAGCACUUACUAAUAGAGUGUAACAAAUUAUGGGGUUUUAGAAAUUCAAUUUAGCUCUCAACAUGCGCCGUUUCACCACCUGCGUACACAAGAGUCACACCCACACGAGUUCCCUCUGCCAGCUCCAUCUCGUCCCUCCUCCUCAUUAGCCAACACCUAAUUACAUACUAAUUGGCUCAGAGAACACAAGCUUGUUAUUGCACUAAAAACACUCAGAGCUCCCCCACAGACAGAUUCUCAUGAAAACCAAAUAUAAAAGGAGUUGGCCUUGUGCCUGGUUUUCAUCAAGACAUAGCUAGAUUCUUCUAGCUCCUUCCUGGCCACAAAGUUAGGCUUCGCUCUUAUGCUUCUGUGAAGUAAUUUUCUUCAGGGACACAUUGAAGUAGUUAGUACCAGCCAAAUGGACCGAACCAGAUUUGAGUGUGUCAUAACCAUAACAAUUUCAUAAAUAAAGGACUUCACAAUGACCUUGAUCAUUAUAUGACU
rnacentral:lncRNA from 1 species